CCUGGAGAGAGGUGAGAGGCCUGGCAGGCGAGUGUGAAGGCCUGGAGAGAGGCGAGAGGCCUGGAGGGAGGUGAGAGGCCUGGAGAGAGGUGAGAGGCCUGGCAGGCGAGUGUGAAGGCCUGGAGAGAGGUGAGAGGCCUGGAGAGAGGUGAGAGGCCUGGAGAGAGGUGAGAGGCCUGGAGGGAGGUGAGAGGCCUGGAGAGAGGUGAGAGGCCUGGCAGGCGAGUGUGAAGGCCUGGAGAGAGGUGAGAGGCCUGGAGAGAGGUGAGAGGCCUGGAGAGAGGCGAGAGGCCUGGAGGGAGGUGAGAGGCCUGGAGAGAGGCGAGAGGCCUGGCAGGCGAGUGUGAAGGCCUGGAGAGAGGUGAGAGGCCUGGAGAGAGGCGAGAGGCCUGGAGAGAGGUGAGAGGCCUGGAGGGAGGUGAGAGGCCUGGAGAGAGGCGAGAGGCCUGGAGAGAAGUGAGAGACCUGCAGAGAGGUGAGAGUCCUGGAGAGAGGCGAGAGGCCUGGAGAGAGGUGAGAGACCUGGCAGGCGAGUGUGAAGGCCUGGAGGGAGGUGAGAGGCAUGGAGAGAGGUGAGAGGCCUGGAGAGAG
rnacentral:lncRNA from 1 species